rnacentral:rRNA from 1 species
CCUACGGGGGGCUGCAGUGGGGAAUAUUGGACAAUGGGGGGAACCCUGAUCCAGCCAUGCCGCGUGUGUGAAGAAGGCCCUCGGGUUGUAAAGCACUUUCAGUGAGGAAGAACGCCUGGUGGUUAAUACCCAUCAGGAAAGACAUCACUCACAGAAGAAGCACCGGCUAACUCCGUGCCAGCAGCCGCGGUAAUACGGAGGGUGCGAGCGUUAAUCGGAAUUACUGGGCGUAAAGCGCGCGUAGGUGGCUUGAUAAGCCGGUUGUGAAAGCCCCGGGCUCAACCUGGGAACGGCAUCCGGAACUGUCAAGCUAGAGUGCAGGAGAGGAAGGUAGAAUUCCCGGUGUAGCGGUGAAAUGCGUAGAGAUCGGGAGGAAUACCAGUGGCGAAAGCGGCCUUCUGGACUGACACUGACACUGAGGUGCGAAAGCGUGGGUAGCAAACAGGAUUAGAUACCCCUGUAGUC